UACGUAGGGUGCAAGCGUUGUCCGGAAUUAUUGGGCGUAAAGAGCUCGUAGGCGGUCUGUCGCGUCGGCUGUGAAAACCCGGGGGCUCAACCCCGGGCCUGCAGUCGAUACGGGGCAGACUAGAGUGCGGUAGGGGGAGACUGGAAUUCCUGGUGUAGCGGUGAAAUGCGCAGAUAUCAGGAGGAACACCGGUGGCGAAGGCGGGUCUCUGGGCCGUAACUGACGCUGAGGAGCGAAAGCGUGGGGAGCGAACAGG
rnacentral:rRNA from 1 species